GUCCACGCUGUAAACGAUGAGCGCUAGGUGUUGCGGGUGUUGACCCCUGCAGUGCCGCAGCUAACGCAUUAAGCGCUCCGCCUGGGAAGUACGGCCGCAAGGCUAAAACUCAAAGGAAUUGACGGGGGCCCCGCACAAGCGGUGGAGCAUGUGGUUUAAUUCGACGCAACGCGCAGAACCUUACCUGGUCUUGACAUCCUAGGAACCCGCCAGAGAUGGUGGGGUGCCCGCAAGGGAACCUAGAGACAGGUGCUGCAUGGCUGUCGU
rnacentral:rRNA from 1 species